UAAAAUCUCAUGGAGGGCCGAACGCACGUUCGUUGCAAUGACCGGCGAUGACUUGUGGUUAGCGGAGAAAUUCCAAUCGAACUCGGAGAUAGCUGGUUCUCCCCGAAAUAGCUUUAGGGCUAGCGUUGAUUUAGAUUACCGGAGGUAAAGCACUGAAUGGGCUAGGGGGCGAUAAGCUUACUGAACCCUAUCAAACUCUGAAUGCCGGCUAAUUGAUGAUCAGCAGUCAGACAGUGUGAGAUAAGUUUCAUUGUCAAAAGGGAAACAGCCCAGACCUACAGCUAAGGUCCCAAAUGUAUGCUAAGUGGAAAACGAUGUGGAGUUGCAAAAACAACCAGGAUGUUGGCUUAGAAGCAGCCAUUCAUUAAAAGAGUUCGUAAUAGAUCACUGGUCGAGUGACUCUGCGCGGAAAAUAUAACGGGGCUAAGCAUGCAACCGAAGCUUAGGAUUGUCGAAAGACAGUGGUAGGGGAGCGUCGUGUACGGGGUGAAGUCUGAGCGGAAGCACAGGUGGACUGUACAGGAGUGAGAAUGCCGGAAUGAGUAGCGAGAAUUAUGUGGGAAUCAUAAUGGCCGAAAAUCUAAGGUUUCUUGGGGAAGGUUCGUCCGCCCAAGGUAAGCCGGGAGCUAAGGCGAGGCCGCAAGGCGUAGUCGAUGCACAUACGGUAAAAAUUCCGUAGCCACCGAACCUUAAGCUGGAAGGACACUUCGAGAUAGCGGAACCCAGGCGUUGGUUGACCUGGGCGAAAGGGACCGAAAUAUAGUAGGGAAGUCCGCGAUGCUCGGAGGCGAGAAAAGCUCCAGUGUAUGCUAAGGUGCCCGUACCGCAAACCGACACAGGUAGAUGAGGAGAGAAUCCUAAGGCCAACGGGAGAAGGGUUGUUAAGGAACUCGGCAAAUUGACCCCGUAACUUCGGAAGAAGGGGAGCCCCGAAAGGGGCCGCAGUGAAUAGGCCCAAGCAACUGUUUACCAAAAACACAGGUUUAUGCUAAAUCGAAAGAUGACGUAUAUGAGCUGACGCCUGCCCGGUGCCGGAAGGUUAAGAGGAGAGCUUAGAGCAAUCGAAGGUUUGAAUUGAAGCCCCGGUAAACGGCGGCCGUAACUAUAACGGUCCUAAGGUAGCGAAAUUCCUUGUCAGGUAAGUUCUGACCCGCACGAAUGGCGUAAUGAUUUGGGCACUGUCUCGACAGCCCGCCCGGCGAAAUUGUAGUACUGGUGAAGAUGCCAGUUACCCGCAACUAGACGGAAAGACCCCAUGGAGCUUUACUGCAGUUUAAUACUGGGAAUCGGUAAUGCAUGUACAGGAUAGGUGGGAGACUAGGAAGCAUGGUCGUCAGGUCAUGUGGAGUCACCGGUGGGAUACCACUCUUGUAUUGCUGAUUUCCUAACCUGCGGCCGUGAAUCCGGUCGGGGGACACUGUUAGACGGGCAGUUUGACUGGGGCGGUCGCCUCCAAAAGAGUAACGGAGGCGCUCAAAGGUUCGUUCAGCACGGACGGAAAUCGUGCAUUGAGUGUAAACGCAUAAACGAGC
rnacentral:rRNA from 1 species